UAUCAUGCAAGUCGAGCGGACCGACGGGAGCUUGCUCCCUUAGGUCAGCGGCGGACGGGUGAGUAACACGUGGGUAACCUGCCUGUAAGACUGGGAUAACUCCGGGAAACCGGGGCUAAUACCGGAUGCUUGAUUGAACCGCAUGGUUCAAUCAUAAAAGGNGGCUUUUAGCUACCACUUACAGAUGGACCCGCGGCGCAUUAGCUAGUUGGUGAGGUAACGGCUCACCAAGGCGACNAUGCGUAGCCNACCUGAGAGGGUGAUCGGCCACACUGGGACUGANACACGGCCCANACUCCUACGGGAGGCAGCAGUAGGGAAUCUUCCNCAAUGGACGAAAGUCUGACGGANCAACNCCNCGUGAGUGAUGAAGGUUUUCNGAUCGUAAAACUCUGUUGUUAGGGAANAACAAGUACCGUUCGAAUAGGGCGGUACCUUGACGGUACCUAACCAGAAAGCCACGGCUAACUACNUGCCAGCAGCCGCGGUAAUACNUANGUGGCAA
rnacentral:rRNA from 1 species